AAAUGAUUUGUUUCUAGACUAAUUUUUUUUUUUUGGUACUGGGGAUCGAACUCGAGACCUUGUGCUUUCGAGGCAGGUGGUGGAACCAUGAGCCUAAAUCCCUGGCCUGUUUCUAGACUAGUUUUGUUGGGCCGAGAUAAUGUGGCUCAAGAAGAAAACAUCAUUUAAAGAGUGAGUGCAUAAGUGUGUGUGUGUGAAUAAGGGUGCCUGCAACUUGGGCAGGUACAUUAGUUUAUUGUGUUUGUUAAUUGUUUGGUGCAAAUCAGUGCUUCUCUGGUGGACCUUCUGGAGCCAGGUGUGAUAUCAAAUCACAAAGAGCUGAGGUGAGAACUUGCAGUCCAGUAAGAUGCACACUGUAGGCACGAAGGCUUCCCUUAUUGGGAAACUGUGAAGCAGCUGUCGCCCCAAAAGAGGAAGCUCGGAGGCUGACGCUUCCUCAGAAGCCACCUGCCUCUCAGUUCCUCCCGCUGGAAGGACGUCCACACCAGUCCUGCGCAUGGGGGUAAAGAAGAAAACAGCAUCCAUCACCCGUGCCUUUCAAUCACGGCACAAAGCCGUCCACACCUGCAUUAGCCGCGAAGCUCCCGGAUGCUGGGUUCCAGGGGAAUUUGACAGGCGCUGCAGUGGUGAAUUGGGCAGCGCAAGGAGAGGAGUGGAGUGUCGGAGUGCAGAAAGAGGAGCUGGGGAUGGGAGCUGGGAGCAGGCACUGUCUGUGAACAGGGCAAGGGGAAGGAGGAGCGGGUCUGGUGGGUCCCGGGUAGUCGCCCCAGAUUCAUGUCCUUCCCCGCCCCUCAAGGCGACCUUGCGGCGGAAGACGGUGGCUGCAGGUGCAGCUGUUAGGACAGGUCAGCGGGUUAGGGCGGGACCAUAACCAGUACAACUAGGCUCCCCCUAAGAAGGGCCACAGAGGGCGGAGGAAAUGUGGCCGUGCAGACGGGCUGUGCCCGGCAGGCCAAGCGUGCCACGGUUUGCUGGUAAUGACGAAGAAUGAGGCACAGAACAGAUUCCCCUCUGCGUCCACAAGAAGGAACCAGUCCCGCCAUCCCGAGUGUUUGGCCCUGGCCUCCUGAACUAUAUGAAGACAGAUUCCUUUGUUUGUGGUAGGUCAUCCCAGCUGCUCUAGAACCCUAACACAGUGGUGUCAGGGAGAUAAGGAAAGACCAGUGGGGAGGCAGCCAGGAGGCUGUCGGGGAGCACACCCAGGAGAUGUGGCUGUAGGUGACACUGGCAUGCAGAGACACCCUGGAGCACAUCUGUUGGGAGUAUUACAGUUGCGCAAGGCACACAACCCACAUCACAUUGGAAUAAGGCGGAAGAUGUCCAUCUCACGGAAAUACUCAGCCUUCAGUCAUGUGCCUGGAGUUUAAAUGACUUGACGGAGACCCAGUUUCCUUCUCAUCCAUCCUCUUCCUCACCUGGGCUUCCUCCUCGGCCCCUGCUCCUGACAGCUCCGAGACAAACUGGUCAGCGCAAGUUCAGAGAAGACCAGUGCGAUCCGCCCAGUAGCUCUGGUGCUGGUUCCAGGAUGCAGCAGCUGCCACACACGCCUGUCCUGGACGCAGUUGCUGUGGCUGGGAAACUGUCCCCAGCCCGCUCUGGGCAGCUGCGGUCCUGUCUCUGGGACAAGGGGCAGCUCCAGUUGUCAGGUGGAGGCCUCCACAUCAUUCUUGGAAACAAGAGGCUCAAACGGAGGGAGAGGGGCGGAGGGAAAGCUCCAGGCAGAAGAGGAGCAGUGGAAAUGCCGCAGCCUGGUGACAAACGGGUUACAGAAACCAGGGCUAGGGACAGGCGUGGGGAAGCCCUCGGGACUGCUUUAUGGGGAAAGCCCGAGCAUUAUUAGCAUACACGUUCGCACGAUGGUUAUUUGGUGGGACAGCAGUAUUUCUUCAUAUCCCAGUUUAGCUGUAUUCUUUGCAGCUAAAGUUGCAAAAUAAGUAAGCUUUGUAUAUGUAAACCUUCAGUAUAUGGC
ensembl:lncRNA